rnacentral:rRNA from 1 species
AGCCAUGCAUGUCUCAGUACGAACCGCAUUAAGGCGAAACCGCGAAUGGCUCAUUAAAUCAGUUAUGGUUCCUUGGAUCUUACCCACACUUACAUGGAUAACUGUGGUAAUUCUAGAGCUAAUACAUGAACCUCGUGCCCCGACCAGUGAUGGGAGGGGUGCUUUUAUUAGAACAAAACCAAUCGGGCGAUUCGUCGUCCGUUGCCUUGGUGACUCUGAAUAACUUUCCGCUGAUCGCACGGUCCUGGCACCGGCGACGCAUCUUUCAAAUGUCUGCCUUAUCAACUUUCGAUGGUAGGUUCUGCGCCUACCAUGGUUGUAACGGGUGACGGGGAAUCAGGGUUCGAUCCCGGAGAGGGAGCCUGAGAAACGGCUACCACAUCCAAGGAAGGCAGCAGGCGCGCAAAUUACCCACUCCCGGAACGGGGAGGUAGUGACGAAAAAUAACGAUACGGGACUCAUCCGAGGCCCCGUAAUCGGAAUGAGAACACUUUAAAUCCUUUAACGAGGAUCUAUUGGAGGGCAAGUCUGGUGCCAGCAGCCGCGGUAAUUCCAGCUCCAAUAGCGUAUAUUAAAGUUGUUGCGGUUAAAAAGCUCGUAGUCGGAGGUGUGUCUCGGACGGGUCGGUUCGCCGCUUGUCGGUGCUCAACUGGCCGGUCCGGACGUCCUGCCGGUGGGGCCGCGAGGCCCCGUCAUCCUUCUUUGGUCCUCUUCACCGAGUGCCUUGGUGGGCCGGCACGUUUACUUUGAACAAAUUAGAGUGCUCAAAGCAGGCCGUUGGUCGCCUGAAUACUGUGUGCAUGGAAUAAUGGAAUAGGACCUCGGUUCCAUUUUGUUGGUUUUCAGAACUCGAGGUAAUGAUUAAUAGGGACGGACGGGGGCAUUCGUAUUGCGACGUUAGAGGUGAAAUU